rnacentral:lncRNA from 1 species
UCCAGGUGUCCCAGGAAUAGAAAUUGGAAUAACUGACAUGAACAGAUCUUUUCAACAAAUAUAUUGGGACAACCUCGAACAGCAAAGUUCAAAUCAAGUAGGCUCCUUAUUCAUAUGUAAACUCAAAGCAAUUAAAUAAUAAUAUUCCAACCAAUCAAAUAUCAAAUUAGUGAUCAUAGAGUCAUAUCAAACUACAAUCUGACAUAUCUAAACCAAGCAGAUUCACAAUUUUAUAUGCUUGUCCAAAGUGAAGCAACGGAUUUAACAAAAUGACAUGGAAAAAUUAGAGUCAAAUCAAAUCAGUAUUUUAUUCAUUCGAAACUAGCAACAAUCAGAAAAUUAGAAGUGUACCUACCUUGUAUUUAAAAAAAAUGAAGGAAAAGCGAAACGAAGCUUAGCAGCAAUUUCCCGUCCACAACAAACAACAAUCACAGCAAGACAACUCCAAUUAGAGCUUUGACAACUUGGAUUCUAAAUAGGAAUAAGCGGCUUUUUGGGCAUCAGGAGAAGAGUUCCAAUCAAGGGCAUCCACAAUAGCUCGAGCUACAUUACUUGCUAUACCAUUUUCCGCCAUCUUUUUUAGCUGUUAAUUAAUGGUUCAAUAGAUUCUUGAAAUUGUACGGUAUUCACUUUUGAAAAGGGUUUUAAAAAGGGAAGAAAGAAAAAACUGAAAAGAAGGUUUUAAGCAAAUAUGUCAGUUAUUUGCACUCUGCGAUGGUGGACAGAGUGGGGAUAGAGGAAAGGUGCUCGUCUUUUGGGUCUUUGAUUUGUGUGUCGUCAGAAGCUGGAGAGGGAAGGGAUAAGGUGAAAGUUGCAUUAAGGUUGGGUCUUAGGGAUUUGACUAUUU